GCCCUAUUUCUUUCUUCCCCGCCGAACCUUUCCUUCUCCUCUUCUCAUCGUCGAUCUUCUUCUUCUCUCCCGAGUCGCACGCUGCCGCCAACACCUCUCCUCAUCUCCUUCACCGCCGGGCGUCUUUUCCUUUUCUCUUUCGAGCUGCACACCGCCGGCCGCCCCCUCUUGCGUCUCCCGGUCGCCACGGUCGACGCCAGUGGACGAGAUCCACCCAAGCGCCACCGAGGGUCGUCGCUCCGGUCUUCUUCUUCUUCCUUCUGUCCUAGUGUCGGUGGCCCGUUUCAUUUCCACCUCCGGCCAUUACAGGCACAAGCAACCAGUGCCGAGCCUCCCUCCCCCGAUGCUCUCAGUUUCUCCUUGCCUUGUCGCUGCCGCGCCGUGCCCUAGAUCACCGGAAGCUGAGAGCGCGGGUAGGCGACAGAGUAGGGAUCUGGCAGUAGCAUUUGGGAGGCAUCGAUCACAGGUCUCCAAUAGCUACUUACUCUGGCAGAGAGAUAAACAGCCAGCAAGGUGACAUGUUGUAUCUGGUCUGACUACCCUUAUGUUCAGAUAGGAGGUCCUGGUAGAUAUUUGUGGAGUCGCUUGGAGUAUCCUAUUUGUCGGUCCUACGUCACAUCCGAAGACCUAUUUUUUGGUUUCUUUAGUACUUUAUUUGGUUUAUAUAUUCGAUGUACUUAGCUUUGUAUAUUCCGGAUUUAUUUUUGGAUUAUUGUGAUGUGGUGUCUUGUAUUGUUUAGUUGUGUGGUGUAAGCCUAGCCGGCUAGUAGUCUUAUUUUUGGGUUGUAAUGGUUUCUAUCGUUU